CUCUGUUUCGAAAGAAUCAGGGCAUAAAGGAG
rnacentral:ncRNA from 1 species